rnacentral:rRNA from 1 species
GAUGAACGCUGGCGGCGUGCCUAAUACAUGCAAGUCGAGCGAACAGAUGAGGAUCUUGCGCCUCGGACGUUAGCGGCGGGCGGGUGAGUAACACGUGGAUAACCUACCUAUAAGACUGGGAUAACUUCGGGAAACCGGAGCUAAUACCGGAUAAUAUAUUGAACCGCGUGGGUCAAUGGUGAAAGACGGUGUUGCGGUCACUUAUAGAUGGAUCCGCGCCGCAUUAGAUAGUUGGUAAGGUAACGGCUUACGAAGGCAACGAUGCGUAGCCGACCUGAGAGGGUGAUCGGCCACCCUGGAACUGAGCCACGGUCCAGACUACUAAGGGAGGCCGCAGUAGGCAACGGUCCGCAACGGGCGGAAGUCUGACGGAGCAACGCCGAGUGAGUGACGAAGGCCCUCGGUUCGUAAUACUCUGUUAUUAGGUAAGAACAAAUGUGUAAGUAAACAUGCACGUCUUGACGGUAACUAAUAAGAAAGCAACGGCUAACUACGUG